GCAACCAGACCUGCCUGCAGUUGCUCAUCCGGGCUUUUGCCCGGUGCACUCUUCUGCUGUCAGGCCAGCAUCGGUUCGGGCGGUCGGAUAAAGGCUUCGGGAAUGUAGCUCCUCUCGAGGAGUGUUAUAGCCCGUUGCGAAAUGCGGCCAGCCUGAACUGAGGUCCGCGCUUCGGCUAGGAUGCUGGCGUAAUGGUUGUAAGCGGCCCGUCUUGAAACACGGACCAAGGAGUCUAACAUCUGUGCGAGUGUUUGGGUGUCAAACCCGUACGCGUAAUGAAAGUGAACGGAGGCGGGAACCCCUCGGGGUGCACCGUCGACCGAUCCUGAUGUCUUCGGAUGGAUUUGAGUAAGAGCAUAGCUGUUGGGACCCGAAAGAUGGUGAACUAUGCCUGAAUAGGGUGAAGCCAGAGGAAACCCUGGUGGAGGCUCGCAGCGGUUCUGACGUGCAAAUCGAUCGUCAAAUUUGGGCAUAGGGGCGAAAGACUAAUCGAACUAUCUAGUAGCUGGUUCCUGCCGAAGUUUCCCUCAGGAUAGCAGUAACGUUUUCAGUUUUAUGAGGUAAAGCGAAUGAUUAGAGGCCUGGGGGUUGAAACAACCUUCACCUAUUCUCAAACUUUAAAUAUGUAAGAAGUCCUUGUUGCUUAGUUGAACGUGGACAUUUGAAUGUAUCGUUACUAGUGGGCCAUUUUUGGUAAGCAGAACUGGCGAUGCGGGAUGAACCGAACGCGGAGUUAAGGUGCCGGAAUGCACGCUCAUCAGACACCACAAAAGGUGUUAGUUCAUCUAG
rnacentral:rRNA from 1 species